CCUGAAUUCGAAAGGGGCCGGAUUCAAGUCGAGCCGAAAGUGUCAGGCCGUCACACCGCCAGAUGGCGCCGGUCGCCCGCUGCGAUUCACUUCGCUUGCGGUGUCGUUCCCGGCGUUCACUCGGCAACGUGGCCGGUAUCUACUGGCUUCGGACGAAUGCACUUCCACCCUAGUAGAAACGUCGCGACCCGUUGGGUGCCGGUCUAAGGCCCGGGAUGGCAGACCGCGCGUUCUGGGGGGGCUCCCGCAGGCGCGCGGACUCCUGGUGACCCGGCCGGCUGCCCGACGGUAGGACCAGAGGAGUCGAUCCGCUAAAUGGGAAACACUGUGGUUGUGAAGCGUCCGGCCUGGCGCCGACGCGUGCGGGGAUUGAGGUGCAAACCGGGGGUGCCCGUGCGGAGUCACGGCCCCGGCCCCGUCUCGCGUCGGUUGUCGGUGUCCUCGGACUGGAUCGAUACUCCCGUCUGCGACGCCCAUCUUCGGAUGGUCUCCC
rnacentral:rRNA from 1 species